UACGUAGGGUGCAAGCGUUGUUCGGAUUUAUUGGGCGUAAAGGGUCCGUAGGCGGUUUGGAAAGUCGGAUGUGAAAUCCCACAGCUCAACUGUGGAACUGCAUUCGAAACUUCCAGACUGGAAUGUGAGAGGGGUAAAGGGAAUUCCCGGUGUAAGGGUGAAAUCUGCAGAGAUCGGGAAGAACACCAGUCGCGAAGGACGCUUACUUGGCUGCACAACUGA
rnacentral:rRNA from 1 species